GAAAUGCGAUACGUAAUGCGAAUUGCAGAAUUCAGUGAAUCAUCAAAUCUUUGAACGCAACUUGCGCUUUCGGGUAGCCCCGGAAGCAUGCUUCUUUGAGUAUCGUUUCAACCCGUCUCUGUCUGCGUGCGUGCGCGCAAGUAGCAUGGAGUAUUGAGGGUUAGACUCGCAGUCUAUCCUUUUAAAUACGCGCUCUACUCAACUUUGUUGGGAAACCGGAAGCUUCUCAACUAGUUGAUGUUCGAUAAUUGACCUCUGUGUCAACAUAUCACAUCGGCUAGGAGGGGCAAUCUGUACGAGCGGCAAAGGAAAUACAUAUUGUUUUUUGAACUUGAUCUCAGAUGAAGCAAGAUUACCCGCCGAAUUUAA
rnacentral:misc_RNA from 1 species